rnacentral:rRNA from 1 species
UACGUAGGGUGCGAGCGUUAAUCGGAAUUACUGGGCGUAAAGCGUGCGCAGGCGGUUUUGUAAGUCAGAUGUGAAAUCCCCGGGCUUAACCUGGGAACUGCGUUUGAAACUACAAGGCUAGAGUGUAGCAGAGGGGGGUGGAAUUCCACGUGUAGCAGUGAAAUGCGUAGAGAUGUGGAGGAACACCGAUGGCGAAGGCAGCCCCCUGGGUUAACACUGACGCUCAGGCACAAAAGCGUGGGGAGCAAACAGG